AACAGGAUUAGAUACCCUGGUAGUCCACGCCCUAAACGAUGUCUACUAGUUGUUGGUGGAGUAAAAUCCAUGAGUAACGCAGCUAACGCGUGAAGUAGACCGCCUGGGGAGUACGGUCGCAAGAUUAAAACUCAAAUGAAUUGACGGGGGCCCGCACAAGCGGUGGAUUAUGUGGAUUAAUUCGAUGCAACGCGAAAAACCUUACCUGGCCUUGACAUGUAACGAACUUUCCAGAGAUGGAUUGGUGCUCGAAAGAGAACGUUAACACAGGUGCUGCAUGGCUGUCGUCAGCUCGUGUCGUGAGAUGUUGGGUUAAGUCCCGCAACGAGCGCAACCCUUGCCAAUAAUUGCCAUCAUUUAGUUGGGCACUUUAUUGGGACUGCCGAUGACAAAUCGGAGGAAGGUGGGGAUGACGUCAAGUCCUCAUGGCCCUUAUGGCCAGGGCUUCACACGUAAUACAAUGGUCGGUACAGAGGGUUGCCAAGCCGCAAGGUGGAGCCAAUCCCAGAAAGCCGAUCGUAGUCCGGAUUGAGGUCUGCAACUCGACCUCAUGAAGUCGGAAUCGCUAGUAAUCGCGGAUUAGCAUGUCGCGGUGAAUACGUUCCCGGGCCUUGUACACACCGCCCGUCACACCAUGGGAGUGGGUUUUACCAGAAGUAGGUAGUCUAACCGCAAGGAGGACGCUUACCACGGUAGUAUUCAUGACUGGGGUGAAGUCGUAACAAGGUAACC
rnacentral:rRNA from 1 species